AAAUUGAAGAGUUUGAUCAUGGCUCAGAUUGAACGCUGGCGGCAGGCCUAACACAUGCAAGUCGAACGGUAACAGGAAGCAGCUUGCUGCUUUGCUGACGAGUGGCGGACGGGUGAGUAAUGUCUGGGAAACUGCCUGAUGGAGGGGGAUAACUACUGGAAACGGUGGCUAAUACCGCAUAACGUCGCAAGACCAAAGAGGGGGACCUUCGGGCCUCUUGCCAUCAGAUGUGCCCAGAUGGGAUUAGCUUGUUGGUGAGGUAACGGCUCACCAAGGCGACGAUCCCUAGCUGGUCUGAGAGGAUGACCAGCCACACUGGAACUGAGACACGGUCCAGACUCCUACGGGAGGCAGCAGUGGGGAAUAUUGCACAAUGGGCGCAAGCCUGAUGCAGCCAUGCCGCGUGUAUGAAGAAGGCCUUCGGGUUGUAAAGUACUUUCAGCGGGGAGGAAGGG
rnacentral:rRNA from 1 species